CGAGCUUCUCGAGAUGGCUGGAGUGCCAAAGAUUUCCACAGACAUUGUGACAAUAAAGGACCAACAGUUGUUUUGGUGAAAGCCAAUAACUAUAUUUUUGGUGGAUACACUGACCAAAAUUGGGGAGGUAUGCAUGGUGUCCCGAAAAAAUGCCCCUUACUACUUAUUUUGUUGUGAUUACUACUAGUACUCUAACAGAAGUUUCGAUAUCGAUCAGGCUUUAAGCCGGAUGGAAUGACUAUCAUGUUGUGUCACUCGAAUACGUUUCGAUUUGAUUCGCGCAUGAAAAGAAAAAAAUGUGAUAAACAAAUUUAACUUAACGAACAGUCAUACGCGACUGGUGAAUAGCAACAUGGUUGGUAUAAUCGGCAUGAACCUUGUACCCAGGGCUCGCUUCUGGCGCUGUGUGGUUGAAUCGGCCGUCAAAUAAUCGGCUUCAGUAAUUGGAUAUUUUUGUGAUCGGCUGAUCUGAAACAUAUUUUUCAUAACUUGGACAAGUCCAAAAAUAUAGGUGUUGCCACCUUCCGUGAUCCUAGAAGACAAAUGGUUGCUUAUAAUAGACACAUCUAGAACAAAUAUACGGUAUAAAAUGAAUGACAUGAUACGUUAUUCUCUAUUAAAACAUAGUAAUACCACAAAAUAUAGGGGGGGGGGGGGGCAUUGUUUUGGGGCGCCCGCAUGUAUGUUGUUUACUAAUUAUCUAGCUGUAGGGCUAGAUUUUUGGAUCUUACAGGACAGCAAAUAUUGCACCGCCUUCGUGAAAUUCACAAUUCGUUAAAAAAAUUAAUAUUUUUAAAAAAAAACGUUAUUGAAUGAUGUACAGUAAGUGCGUGUUAGUAAAUUGUAG